ensembl:lncRNA
AAAAAAAUAAUGAGAAAUAUAGCUGCAAGCAGCGAUGGCGGGCUCAAGCCAUCAGCGCAAACGCCACCCCGGUGGCAUCAGGUAAACUGUGCCCAGCGGGCACAUGCAUUUACAGUAAUCCUCUGGCACUCAGGUUUUAAGGGAUACGGCAAUUAACGGGUUAAUCGGAAGCAUCAAGACUUUGAAAUCACAUACACAGAACAAUAUUCAUUAAGAAAGUGAAAUUAAAUGAUUAAUAAACUAUUUAUUCGAACCCUUGCUAUUUUCUAUUCUAAUAAGAGUCUUGGCUGUGGAACACCUGUAAUAGAGUUGGCUAGCUGGAUGCAAAUAAAGUCAUGCCUUUUAUUUGUUCCCCUGUUUGCUAUUUCACAUUCCUGUCACUGAAGCGUUGUGGCCAAAGACACAGAAGGUAACUGAAACAAUGUGGUUUAAGUGUGAU